CCUCCCCCUCCACACACACAACUUUUGUUCCCCAUGAAAAAACACUUCUGUGCUUUGCAACCAACCGCCCAUCUUGGAAUGUAAUUCUGUUGUGCCUUUGUUUUCUGUCACCCACUCCCUCAAAAGCAACUGCUGUAAGCUUUUUUCUAACCCAUCUUUUCUAGCCCCACCCCUUCCUCCGGCUCCCCCUGUUCCAGUCCCAAUAUCUGGAUGCACUUGUGUGGUCCAGGUACUCUAAGAACCAGUUACCUCAGACCCGAUGUGCAACAGUGUCACCAUCCGGCCCUCUCCGUCCUGCCAACUCUUACCACACAUGCAGGAGGCCCACUGAGCACGGACACUUGUUUUAAAGCAAAACUCUUCCCGAGGAUGGAACCAGGGGGCUUCUGGCAAGCCUGUGCGGGCACUGCGGGAGUGUCAUCCGAAUGGUGCUUCCUGUGCGUUCUGCCGUGUUCAGUAUUCUCAUAGUCUGGAGAGGCAGACUGGCUGGUCUCGCAUGCACGCACGCACGCACGCAAAUCAGCUCCAAAGAUGAGCUCUUCCUAACACAUUUCCAGUCGCUAGAGCUCAGAUGUAGACCAUUCCUUCAAACAGCAGGGUAGAAGCCCCCAUCCACCGCCACAGUGCAUUCUGGGAAGAUGUCUGUAGUAUACAUUGCUGUGGGAUUAGGCCUUGUGGGAUAUGGCUGCUUGUCAUUUUGAUGUAUUUUAAAUAAAAUAUAUAAAUAUAAAUAUAUAUAUAUAUUUUUAAAGAGCCUUUUUUACCAGUUCAAAAGCUUAAUUAACCAGCUGUCACCACACCUGAAUUUUUGUCUCUAGGGCAUCGAAGGCAGGCCAAGACUAAAAGUGGUACCUCAGCUGUGAGUUGUCUACCCUGGGCUGUCCUGCUGACCAUGGGACACCGGGGUCGGCGUUUUCCCAGUGGGCUUCAACUCAGCCCUCUGCGGUGUUUGGUCUCUGCCCCACUUAGCGGACUGUAGUCCCCAGUCCUUGUAAGUGCUUUAGCCUGAGUGGGGUUUCCCCAGAGCAGUGCCACAAGUGUAUGAGUUUAGCCAAAUAAUUUCUCCACAGGGAAAAGCGUUGUCACGGAAAUUUUACCUACUUCGAAAGAGACCGGAGUAGGAAAAACUAGUUGUGAGUCUGUCUGGGAGCAAGCAGUUUUCACUCGGGCAGGAGAUCUCAUUUGAAAUUCUAGGCCCACCAGCAAGGGUGCAAUUGUUAAAAAAAAAAACGCCAGCGGCUUGCUUUCCCUCCCCCCCCACCCCCCCCGCACCCCCACCCCAAUUCUGUAAAAAUGCAAAGAAAGCUGAGUGGUACUUGAGGACCGCAGGAGAGGGUACCGCAGAUUAGAGACACGCGUCUAGACUUCAGUCCAUGCCACAGGUGCACACGAUGCCGUUUUCAACUGUACGAGAGAGUCUGCUUAUCAACCUGGCAUCAUCCUGGUGGUGAUGUCAGAGGCCACGUUUUCCCACAUGUUAAUAUCUCUCCACAUCUGUCCUCGAAUCUGAGUCGCAUUAUGCAGUACCGUAAGCUUAAUUUGUGCCGAGUUUGAUGUCGACUCCCGUGAAGAAGAGCUUCUGGCACGUGACAGACAGUGAGUUACAAAACACAGCAGAGCACAGAAUUCUUGCAGGGACAGUUUUGGAACCAGCAGAAAGUGUCACUUUUUAGUUACCAUCUUAUGUAUCAGUUUUACCGGCUAUUUCUGAAUUUGUACAUUAUUUGGAAGGGAAACCGUAAGGCUUGUCUAACUUAGUGGAAAUGUGUGUGUCGCCCUUAGGAUGGGUAACUAAGUCUCACUAAGCUGUGUUAUCUAACUUGUAUAUAUGAAUUGUAAUUAAGAGUUCGGAUUCAUCUGUUUCUCACGGUUUAAAACGACAAGUCGUCGCAAGGUCUGGAGAUGUGACUAGUCUGCGAUUUCGAGCUGUAGAAGUGACGUAGCUCUCUGAAGUGCUGAAACACUAAAACUUCCAGUUUUGGGCUCAAAUUCGAUGACUGUUUGUAUGCCGGAGUAUGUGAGGUGUAAAUGUAGUGGGGUACUUUUCACCCUUGUAGCUAUAAAAUAAACAUUUUGUAGAACAGAAAAUAGCUUGUACUACUGAAUUAACAAAAGUUAUACUAAAGUAUCAUGUCUUAAAAAAAUAUAUAUAUAUCUAUAUAU
rnacentral:lncRNA from 1 species